AGAGUUUGAUCCUGGCUCAGAACGAACGGUGGCGGUGUGCUUACUACAUGCAAGUCGAGCGGACUAGUGGGGCAACUUACUAGUUAGCGGCGGACGGGUGAGUAAUGUAUAGACAACCUACCCUUUAGUGGGGGAUAACGAUUAGAAAGGAUUGCUAAUACCGCAUAAGCUUAAGCAGAUGCAUAUCUGCAUAAGGAAAGUGGGGGAUCUUCGGACCUCAUGCUGAAGGAGGGGUUUAUAUCCUAUUAGCUAGUUGGUGGGGUAAAAGCCUACCAAAGCGAUGAUGGGUAGCCGGCCUGAGAGGGUGUUCGGCCACACGGGCACUGAGACACGGGCCCGACUCCUACGGGAGGCAGCAGUAGGGAAUUUUGGGCAAUGGGGGCAACCCUGACCCAGCGACACCGCGUGAGAGAAGAAGGCCUUCGGGUUGUAAAUCUCUAACAUGUAUUAUGAAGGCAUGGUUGACUAAUAAUCAAUUGUGUUUGACAAAGGUACAAAAUGAAGUCAUGGCUAACUCUGUGCCAGCAGCCGCGGUAAUACAGAGAUGGCAACCGUUGUUCGGAAUCACUGGGCUUAAAGAGCACGUAGGCGGAAUGUUAAGUUGGCUGUGAAAGACCACGGUUCAUCCGUGGAGAGUCAGCCAAAACUGAUAUUCUUGAGGCUGUUAGGGGAGAGUGGAAUUCCUGGUGGAGCGGUGAAAUGCGUUGAUAUCAGGAGGAACGCCGGAGGCGAAGGCGACUCUCUGGGUCAGUCCUGACGCUGAGGUGCGAAAGCUAGGGGAGCAAACGGGAUUAGAUACCCCGGUAGUCCUAGCCGUAAACGAUGGGUACUAAGUAGGGGAGUUCGCUUCCCUGCCGGAGCAAAAGUGUCAAGUACCCCGCCUGGGGAGUAUGGUCGCAAGGCUGAAACUCAAAGGAAUUGACGGGGGCUCGCACAAGCGGUGGAGCAUGUGGUUUAAUUCGAAGCAACGCGAAGAACCUUACCUGGGCUUGACAUUCUAGGAUUAACUCGAUGAAAGUCGAGGGACACUCUUUUGAGCGGAACUAGAACAGGUGUUGCAUGGCUGUCGUCAGCUCGUGCCGUGAGGUGUUGGGUUAAGUCCCUUAACGAGCGAAACCUUUGUCCUUAGUUGCCAGCGGGUAAUGCCGGGGACUCUAGGGAGACUGCAGGCGUUAAGCCUGAGGAAGGUGGAGAUGACGUCAAGUCAUCAUGGCCCUUAUGUCCAGGGCUACACACGUGCUACAAUGGUUGGUACAAAGGGAUGCUAAGCCGUAAGGUGGCGCUAAUCCCAAAAAACCAAUCUUAGUUCGGAUUGAGGGCUGCAAUUCGCCCUCAUGAAGUUGGAAUCGCUAGUAAUCGUGGGUCAGCAAUACCACGGUGAAUGUGUUCCCGAGCCUUGUACACACCGCCCGUCAAGCCACCGAAGCAGGGGUAGCCUGAAGUCAUUGACCUAACCUCGCAAGAGGAGGGAGGUGCCCAAGGAAGCUUCUGUGACGGGGACUAAGUCGUAACAAGGUA
rnacentral:rRNA from 1 species